GUAGGUGGCAAGCGUUGUCCGGAAUUAUUGGGCGUAAAGCGCGCGCAGGCGGUUCUUUAAGUCUGAUGUGAAAGCCCACGGCUCAACCGUGGAGGGUCAUUGGAAACUGGAGAACUUGAGUACAGAAGAGGAAAGCGGAAUUCCACGUGUAGCGGUGAAAUGCGUAGAGGUGUGGAGGAACACCAGUGGCGAAGGCGGCUUUCUGGUCUGUAACUGACGCUGAGGCGCGAAAGCGUGGGGAGCAAACAGGGAUUAGAUACCCUGGUAGUCCACGCCGUAAACGAUGAGUGCUAAGUGUUAGGGGGUUUCCCGCCCCUUAGUGCUGCAGCUAACGCAUUAAGCACUCCGCCUGGGGAGUACGGCCGCAAGGCUG
rnacentral:rRNA from 1 species